GACAGAGGGUGCAAACGUUGUUCGGAAUCACUGGGCAUAAAGCGCACGUAGGCGGCCGACUAAGUCAGGUGUGAAAUCCCCCGGCUCAACCGGGGAACUGCAUUUGAUACUGGUUGGCUCGAGGUUGGUAGGGGUGGAUGGAACUCCAGGUGGAGCGGUGAAAUGCGUAGAUAUCUGGAGGAACACCGGAGGCGAAAGCGAUCCACUGGGCCAAAUCUGACGCUGAGGUGCGAAAGCUAGGGUAG
rnacentral:rRNA from 1 species